rnacentral:rRNA from 1 species
GAUGAACGCUAGCGGCAGGCUUAAUACAUGCAAGUCGAGGGGCAGCAUGACUGUAGCAAUACAGUUGAUGGCGACCGGCAAACGGGUGCGGAACACGUACAGAACCUUCCUUCGAGCGGGGAAUAGCCCAGAGAAAUUUGGAUUAAUACCCCAUAGUACAACGGAGUGGCAUCACUUUGUUGUUAAAGAUUUAUCACUUGAAGAUGGCUGUGCGGCUGAUUAGGUAGUUGGCGGGGUAACGGCCCACCAAGCCUGCGAUCAGUAACUGGUGUGAGAGCACGACCAGUCACACGGGCACUGAGACACGGGCCCGACUCCUACGGGAGGCAGCAGUAAGGAAUAUUGGUCAAUGGACGAAAGUCUGAACCAGCCAUGCCGCGUGGAGGAUGAAGGUCCUCUGGAUUGUAAACUUCUUUUAUAUGGGACGAAAAAAGGGUUUUCUAACUCGUCUGACGGUACCAUAUGAAUAAGCACCGGCUAACUCCGUGCCAGCCGCCGCGGUAAGAC